UACGAAGGGGGCUAGCGUUGCUCGGAAUCACUGGGCGUAAAGCGCACGUAGGCGGAUCUUUAAGUCAGGGGUGAAAUCCUGGAGCUCAACUCCAGAACUGCCUUUGAUACUGGGGAUCUCGAGUCCGGGAGAGGUGAGUGGAACUCCGAGUGUAGAGGUGAAAUUCGUAGAUAUUCGGAAGAACACCAGUGGCGAAGGCGGCUCACUGGCCCGGUACUGACGCUCAGGUGCGAAAGCGUGGGGAGCAAACAGGG
rnacentral:rRNA from 1 species